rnacentral:rRNA from 1 species
GGCGCUUCACACCCACCUAGAGGAGCCUGUUCUGGAACCGAUAACCCCCGUUCAACCUCACCUUCUCUUGUUUCUCCCGCCUAUAUACCGCCGUCGUCAGCCCACCCUGUGAAGGCCCAGUAGUGAGCAAAAUUGGCAAAGCCCAAAACGUCAGGCCGAGGUGUAGCGUAUGAGAAGGGAAGAAAUGGGCUACAAUUGCUAAAACAGCUAAAACGGAUUGUACCGCUGAAAUUGCACACAUGAAGGAGGAUUUAGAAGUAAGGGGGCAAAAUAGAGUGUCCCCCUGAAACGGUUCUGAAGCGUGCACACACCGCCCGUCACUCUCCCCAAAUUAGAAAACCAAAAAGUAACUAAUCACCCAAACCUAUAAAGGGGAGGCAAGUCGUAACAUGGUAAGUGUACCGGAAGGUGCACUUGGAACAAAU